rnacentral:lncRNA from 1 species
GUCGAACCAAAGUCAUCAUACAAUAGAGGAAUAGAAGAAAUAUGGGGAAGAGAAUAGAGGAAGAAAGGGAAUAAAAGUGGACUUGGUAAGGAGAACAAGAAAUAUUAGACAGGCGUAGGUACAAAGAGAGGCAGAUAAAAUCUUAAGCAGAAACAUGAAAAUUAUUUCACAGACUGAACGAAUGUUAGAGUUUCUCAGUCACAGAUAGAAUAG